CCUUGUCCGAGAACCAUAUUAUCUCUAGAAGGUCUAAAGGAUUGUCUCUAGACGAAUUUUCGAAGCUCUAGAGAUAGUCUUUUAGUCAUUCGAGGGGUAUUCUGUCCACGUUAGAUGGCA
rnacentral:precursor_RNA from 9 species